AUGCUGUUUCAAAUUUUAGCCUUUAGGCAUGACAUUGAGUGUCACUUACUAAAUAGCAUUCUCCAAAAGCCCAUCUAUAAGUUGCCUUCUAUUUACCAUCUUUCAGAGUAUCACGCAGUGUUGAUUUCUGAAUUCUUCUUCCUCUAGGAAAUCAUCCAGAAAGAUUAGAAAGCAUCAAUAUGUUUUGUUUACUUGAUGGCUUCAGUCCACAACCACUCUCAGCUCUCAGAGGCAACCUUUAGGUCCUGGCUGUGUGGCCCCUUCCACAAUCACUCCCACAGCCCAGUAGCUUACUUCUUCAAGGCCAACAGGAGAGCAUCUCUGUGCUUAAGUAAGGCAAAAGCCUUCCAACUAAGAGCUUACCUUCAAAACCCAGAGACUCUCCUUUUUAUUAACUCAAAGUCAACUGAUUAGAGCCCUUAAUUACAUCUAAAACGUUCCUUCUCUUUUGCUCUGUGAGUUGAAGUAUCCUGACAUAUUCACAGAUCCCACCCACACUCAAGGGGAGAGGAUUAUACAAGGGCACAGGUCAUCAGAAGCCAUCUUAGAAUUCUAACUGCCACAGUACCCUUCCCAACCCUUUCCAGUUUCUCUACCCUAGUCUCACUCAUCUUUGAUGUUGACUAAAAAUCAGACAUAAAUUUGAUCUGUGGUUGGUGUUGACAUAUUUCAAUGGCAUAUGGGAAAAGCAUAGACACAUGAAUUUGAGAAAGCCCUGAAUUUAAAUCCUGCCUUCACUAUUUAUUGGCUAUGGGGUCUACGUCACAAGUUAGACAUCCUUUGGAGAGCUAUGUGGCAGAUUUUGUUUCACCAGUAUUCUACAUGGUGGAUCAGCUAGCAGUGGAUGUGAAAAUCGCUCAGGACCUGAAUGGUCCUCUGCCUGGCUGAGGCAACAUUACUGUAGCAUCUUUGCUAGUCCAGUGGAGGGAAGCCAGAGGAAGCUGGCUAUUUGCAGAACUGGUUUGGAAUUUCAGAGCACAGCACAAAUGAUUGGAAGGUCAUUUAUGAAGUUACUGUUGUAACCUCUGUGAAUAAAAUAGUAACAAUAAUAGACUAAAAUGUAUUGAUUCUCUACAAUACGCUUCUUGCAACUGUUUUAUGAGAGACCUUUGAGAAAGAAAUGGUUUCAAGGAACUAUCCAUUGAACUGGAUUUUUGGAAUGUAUACAAGUGAAAGGACUCAACAUUCUCUAAUAUUUCAUCUUUGAGAAUGGACUACUGGAAGGAAUUCCAUCAACAAUAUUUAUUGAUUAUCCUCUAUGUUUAACGAUUUUGUGUUUGUUCCUGGCAAGCUUUACAUUGUGAAUGUGCAAAAGCAUAUCACGUAGAUUUCCCAUAUUCAAACAUUUGUAAACAUGUUGGAAACUCUCUUUCCUUCUUUCCCUGCCCUUCCCCAAAAUGUAGCAGAUUGUUUCUAUUAUUUCUAAAUAAAAUAGACUCAUUCAACUUUCAGUAAAAAAAUCCUAUUGAGCAUCUCUUACGUGCCAGACACUGUUCUAGAUUAUGGAACACAGCAGCAAACAAAACUUUGAAACAUCUCAGCACUCUUGAAACUUACAUUCUUGUAAAAACAGAAAAUUAUUUGUCUAAAAAAUAUGGGUACUAGUGGCCAGAAACACAAAUAUACCAAACAGGUGACUAAAAGGAUGAUUAAUUAAUAUCCAUUCAGAAAACAAACAUUAGCUGAGCAUUAGACUUGAAAUCAAAUGAGGCAAGUCCAUUUUGGUUUGCCCCUUAGCUCCACAUUGCAUAUU